CUUUUCAAAUCUGGUUUCGUUCGACCCCCCCUCUCUCUCUCUCUAUCAUCAGCUUUGGGGUUUUUGUUUUUUUGACUAGUCUGGUUUUUUCUCUUGGUCUCCUGAACUUGGUUUUAUUACGACUUUUAUCAUGUCUCCAACGAACAAGAUUUCUUGGAAAUUCUACUAGUUUCUUCGUAUCUAUUUUGGUUCAGAUAGCCGAACAUACGGACUUCGACUGUAUCCUGUCUCUCGAUGAAACUGCCAAAUAAUAUUUCAGAUGAUUUUCUCGGAUCAAGUUUUUGAGAUCAUAGAUGUACCGUCAAGUUUAUCAUCUUAAACACCUCAUACAGAGCCUCUAGCUCGAUUUCAUCCGUAUAGCAUCCGGUGGAUUUGGAAGAAGCUGAACUCCUUGUUGAAUCCAUGUCGAUUUCAGAAAGACUUAGCGAAGAAGGAGAGCAACAAAUUGAAGGGGAAAGGAUCAAAAAAAGCGAGAUUGUCAACUCUGUGAUACACCUAUUCAGACCUUUGAGAGAGGGAAACAUAUAUAAUAGCAAAGAGUAGUGUAGUUUACUGCUCAAGUAAACGUGUUUUUGCACUAUUAGAGAGCAACUCACUUGAAAAUAACCUUUGCUAAUUACUUUGUCAACUCUAACCGAAAAGCCAACAGCCACCUAAAAGACUAACCAAUCCGAUUAGAGCUUUACCAAAUCAUUCAUAUUCGAGGAGAUAAAAGCAUCAACAAAAACAAGGAGCAGAAAAAAAAAAAUACAGAUUUGUUUUCUUUUCA